UCCAACAACUAUUUCCUGGUUCUUUGGUUUAUUGGGUUCUGUUUCUUUCAUAUUCGUUCAUUGUUUGUUUGCAAUUCGGGAAAUGGCAAGGCACAAGAGAACAUAUUUUGAAAUGAUUGCAUAGCAUUAUUUUAGUCAAGGUAAGGUGAGUGAAGUUAGCUUAGUCUCACACAGUUUCCUAUACACUGAGUACUAAAUGCAAAUCGUUCAGGUGUGCCAUUAGGGACGUGGCUGUGCGUAACCCCGCUACUUCAUGAAAUUAGUAUUUACUAAUAAACUCCUGUGUAGUUAACAUGUAAUCCCUGGAUACUGCCAAUGUUUCCCCCAGGAGGCUAUGAAAGUAUCCACUCUGACCUGAAAUUGUGUCCCUUUUGUUUGGUUGGCUAGCAUACACAUGAACACCAUCAAAUGAUACUCUAAAAGGGUCUAGGGUCAGCAUAGAGCCUGGGCUGAUUGAGCAUAAUGCAGGGUGCUCCUUGUGCAAGAAGCACACUCUACUCAGUGUCAUUUUUAUCCCAUCAGGACAUCUUCUGAAAGGUGUAAAGCUUUACCUCAUAAAAGGUAUGGCUGAGCAAAUCUUAACACAAGGCUGGAGACCAACUGUGACUUUUAUUACACGACCAUUAGCUCUAUGGCCAUAUGAGGCUAUAACAGUACAGUCCAUGGUCCUUUGCAAUGGAAAAAUGCACUAAAUGACCAAGUCCAUGCUCUGAAGAUGCAACAAAUUAAGAUCUUAAGUACCAUGAAAAGCAAGGUUAUUUGUCCUUACGUUGUGGUGUGAAUGAGCAAACGGAGACUUCAGCUUUUUGCCUCCUCCCUUCUCAAUCCAUUACAGUUAAAUUGGCAUGCUGAGAAUCUUAGAACUGGAUUUAUUGCACAUUACAGUUUUCAUAGAUCUUUGACAGAAUUGGCUGACUUAUGUCACCCAAAAGGAAUGUCCACUGGAAUUAAAAUAACAUAGCAGUUAGUGUUUCUUUUGGCAUCUGAAAUAGUUAAAUAUGCAAAGCAAAAGAGAAACAAAUAAAUCUGAGCUAAACAUUCAGUUUAAAAAUUGAGAGGAACAAAAGUCAGGAAAUUUAAGGCAAGAUUGAUAAAAAAUAACUAGAGUAUGUUAUUAUAAAUAGUAUGUUGGUUAAUCUAAAUGCAUAAAUAUAUAAAUAUAUGUAUAUUAAUUCUAGCUCAUAUGAAUGAAAUAAACUGAAUAUUCAUACAACUAUUUUCUCAUCAUUUUUAAAGGAGACUAAGAGUUAUAUUUAAGGUUCAAUUUUAUAUUCUCUAGUUUAACUCACCGUGGUUAUAAACUAAAAAGACAGCAAAACCUAUAAGUAAUUGUUUCUGUCCAAAUGGAUCUAGCAGCUUCAAGCCACAGCUACAUGCUUACCAAACAAUGAUUAUGAAAACCACAGUUGAGCGGAGCAUCGGGAAACGGUAUUGCAAACCACAGUAACAAAUGUGUCUGUGAUACAGAAAACCACAAUUCACAACUAAUACCCCGUGUCGCCGAUGACGAUUAACUAUACAUGUGCAAAUGUGGGACCAACAAAUUGAUCAAGCAACCUCCCAGGCCAAUCUUAUUAGACAUCAAGCUGCUUUCUUUAUUAUGAAAAUGCAAUGUGGUGAGCUGCCUUGAGCUUCUGUCAACGGGACUUCCCACUAAGUGGGACUGCACACUAGAACUGUGAGCCAAAGGUUCAUGUCCGUGAUGGCAGAGUGGAGGCGUGGGGGCAGGUGGCUGGAGCUGCAGCAGAGAGCUCUAAUCUUGGUCCACAGCCAGAAGAGGAACAAUAACUCAAAACAGCAAGUCUUUGGAAAUCCCUCUCCAGUGAUACACCGCCUCCCAAAAGGCCACACCUCCUGAUAUUUGUCAAACAGUUCCACCAACUGGGGGCCAAGUACUGAACAGAAUGAAGAUAUUUAUGAAAAUACAACUUGGAGACUUACAGUUUCACGAAGAUGUAGUAACAUGUCCCUCUCUCCAACACACCUGUGAAAUAGCUUCCCCUUAUUGCCUCAAAUUCCUGUAUAUGAUUAAGGAAAGAAUUAUAGGAAGUCCUUGAAUUGUUGAAAGAAUGUAGGCUUCGAAGGGACCAUAAGGACUGAGCAACAGUAUGCCUAUGAGUCCCCCCUGUUUCUGUAUUGUGCCCUAUAUAUCCUAGACAAGGUACUAUGGAGGACCCCAUACCCAACCUCCAGGGUUAGUGAAAGCCAAAGUCACAAGAGCAGAUGCCAAUACCAAUGCAGUUCAGCUGUUAAGACACUUGCUAAGAACUUUAACGUGGCUGUCAUUGUAAUGCUUAAUAAGAAAAAUUGUCUUAAGCUGGGUGGUGGGGGCACAUGCCUUUAAUUUUAGCACUCGGGAGGCAGAGUCAGGUGGAUC